GACGAACGCUGGCGGCGUGCUUAACACAUGCAAGUCGAACGGAAAGGCCCCUUUGGGGGUACUCGAGUGGCGAACGGGUGAGUAACACGUGCGUAACCUGCCCUUGACUUCGGGAUAACUUCAGGAAACUGGGGCUAAUACCGGCUAGGAAUCCUUGCUGCAUGGUGGGGGUUGGAAAGCUUCGGCGGUUUUGGAUGGACUCGCGGCUUAUCAGCUUGUUGGUGGGGUAGUGGCUUACCAAGGCUUUGACGGGUAGCCGGCCUGAGAGGGCGACCGGCCACAUUGGGACUGAGAUUCGGCCCAGACUCCUACGGGAGGCAGCAGUGGGGAAUAUUGCACAAUGGGCGGGAGCCUGAUGCAGCAACGCCGCGUGCGGGAUGACGGCCUUCGGGUUGUAAACCGCUUUCAGCAGGGGCGAAGCUUGUGGUGACGGUACCUGCAGAAGAAGCACCGGCUAACUACGUG
rnacentral:rRNA from 1 species